GUCCAUGCCGUAAACGAUGUCUACUAGCCGUUGGGUCUUUGAGACUUUAGUGGCGCAGCUAACGCGAUAAGUAGACCGCCUGGGAGUACGGUCGCAAGACUAAACUCAAAUGAAUUGACGGGGCCCGCACAAGCGGUGGAGCAUGUGGUUUAAUUCGAUGCAACGCGAAGAACCUUACCUGGUCUUGACAUAGUAAGAACUUUCCAGAGAUGGAUUGGUGCCUUCGGGAGCUUACAUACAGGUGCUGCAUGGCUGUCGU
rnacentral:rRNA from 1 species